rnacentral:rRNA from 1 species
UUUGUCGCGUUGUUCGUGAAAUCUCACGGCUUAACUGUGAGCGUGCGGGCGAUACGGGCAGACUUGAGUACUGCAGGGGAGACUGGAAUUCCUGGUGUAGCGGUGGAAUGCGCAGAUAUCAGGAGGAACACCGGUGGCGAAGGCGGGUCUCUGGGCAGUAACUGACGCUGAGGAGCGAAAGCGUGGGGAGCGAACAGGAUUAGAUACCCUGGUAGUCCACGCCGUAAACGGUGGGUACUAGGUGUGGGUUUCCUUCCUUGGGAUCCGUGCCGUAGCUAACGCAUUAAGUACCCCGCCUGGGGAGUACGGCCGCAAGGCUAAAACUCAAAGAAAUUGACGGGGGCCCGCACAAGCGGCGGAGCAUGUGGAUUAAUUCGAUGCAACGCGAAGAACCUUACCUGGGUUUGACAUGCACAGGACGCCGGCAGAGAUGUCGGUUCCCUUGUGGCCUGUGUGCAGGUGGUGCAUGGCUGUCGUCAGCUCGUGUCGUGAGAUGUUGGGUUAAGUCCCGCAACGAGCGCAACCCUUGUCUCAUGUUGCCAGCGGGUAAUGCCGGGGACUCGUGAGAGACUGCCGGGGUCAACUCGGAGGAAGGUGGGGAUGACGUCAAGUCAUCAUGCCCCUUAUGUCCAGGGCUUCACACAUGCUACAAUGGCCGGUACAAAGGGCUGCGAUGCCGCGAGGUUAAGCGAAUCCUUUUAAAGCCGGUCUCAGUUCGGAUCGGGGUCUGCAACUCGACCCCGUGAAGUCGGAGUC